ACCGUCAUUCUAAACAUGCACUCUUGAGUAUUCGUCUGUGAAAACGAGGGUGUGUAAGUUCGGGUCUCUUUUGAAAUCACUUAUGUAUCACGUGAUAAAACCCUCGAGUGGACCAAUCAGAGCGAACACCAUGAAACGAUCACGUGCUCGGAGCGUUUCAAGCGUUGUUUUACGCGGGCGUAUAGUACGAUUUCUGAAGGGAAAUGAAGAAUAAUGAGAGCCGUUCGUCGACCCAUACGUUCCUGUGCACCCGAAAACUGGUUGAGCCGGGCUCAACGCCACUUCGAAAUAAAAGGGAACGUGGAAAGGGAAGAGAAGUGAUGUAGGAAGAAGAGGAGGAGGAAGAGAAGGAGGAGGAGGAGGAGGAGGGGAAAGAAGAGGAGGAAAAGAAGAAAAAGAAUAAGAAGAAAGAAUGGUGAGCCGAGCAAAAAACUAUCGGUCGAUCGCAAUACGCGUAUGCAAAAACCCGUGCCGUACCCCUGGGCCUGGAUAUAUACAAGGAGCACAUUUACCUUACUACUCGUGAAACUUUUAUAGCUCUUAAAAGGCUCGAAGGAUAAUUCAAAGAGGAUAGCAAUAAACAUUACAGGGAGCAUGCUACCGUCCACCCAUCUUACUUCUUCUUUUUCUUUUUUUUUUUCUUUUUUUUUUUUCUUGAAAUAUGUACUUACAUUACUCAAUACAAAAUGAAGAUUACGAACUAAAUUUACUUCUUUCCCUUUCUCUCUCUCUCUCUCUCUCUCUCUCUCUCUCUCUCUCUCUUUCUCUUUCUCUUUUGGAAUAUAGUACUUAUAAAGCGUCAUUUUUCAUUUCGAUUCGUUUAAAAAGAUCGAUCUAAGAUCAAGAUUUGAACGGUAUUAAAUUCGUUCGUUCAGUAACGAUUAAUACUUUAAUAACGAAACAGUAGCUUAUCAACAUAACACUUCCUGUCGAUCGUUCACUUUCACCGCAAGAGUCAUCCGUCUGGUCGCGGUCGACCGAUCAAUUACCUUCUAUCGAUUGUGAUUUACGUCGAUCGCCUUUGGCUUGUAUCGACAUCGAUCUAUACGAAACUUCAGGAUGAUCUAAAUCGAACUUUUGUACGAAUUAAAAAGAAAAAAAAGAAAAAAAAAAAAGCAAAAAUGUAGAAAAAAGAAGAAGAAGAAGAACAAGAAGAAUACAAGUUAAUUAAAAAGAAAAAAAAGUCAUU